AGUGGCGGACGGGUGAGUAACGCGUGAGGAACCUGCCUUUCAGAGGGGGACAACAGUUGGAAACGACUGCUAAUACCGCAUGACACAUAGAGAUCGCAUGGUUUUUAUGUCAAAGAUUUAUCGCUGAAAGAUGGCCUCGCGUCUGAUUAGCUAGUUGGUGAGGUAACGGCCCACCAAGGCGACGAUCAGUAGCCGGACUGAGAGGUUGACCGGCCACAUUGGGACUGAGAUACGGCCCAGACUCCUACGGGAGGCAGCAGUGGGGAAUAUUGGGCAAUGGGCGCAAGCCUGACCCAGCAACGCCGCGUGAAGGAAGAAGGCUUUCGGGUUGUAAACUUCUUUUGUCGGGGACGAGUAGAAGACGGUACCUGGCGAAUAAGCCACGGCUAACUACGUGCCAGCAGCCGCGGUAAUACGUAGGUGGCAAGCGUUGUCCGGAUUUACUGGGUGUAAAGGGCGUGUAGCCGGGAAGGCAAGUCAGAUGUGAAAUCCACGGGCUUAACUCGUGAACUGCAUUUGAAACUACUUUUCUUGAGUAUCGGAGAGGCAAUCGGAAUUCCUAG
rnacentral:rRNA from 1 species